GAUGAACGCUGGCGGCGUGCCUAACACAUGCAAGUCGAACGAACAGACGAGGAGUUUGUUCCUCUGACGUUUGCGGAGGACGGGUGAGUAACACGUGUAUCACCUCCCUAUCUGACGGGGAUAACUUCGGAAAACCGGAGCUUACACCGGAUAAUAUAUUGCACCGCAUUGUUCAAUAGUGAGAUACGGUUUUUGUGUCACUACUCGAUGGUUACGCGCCGCAUGAGCUAGUUGUUAAGUUCACGGGUUACCAAGGCUACGAGGCGUAGCCGAACUGAGAGGGUGGUCGGCCACACGGGAGGUGAGACACGGUCCAGACUCCUACGGGAGGCAGCAGUAGGGAAUCUUACGCAAUGGGGGAGAGUCUGACGGAGCAACGCGGAGUGAGUGGUGAAGGUGCUCGGUUCGUGAAGAUCUGUUAUGAGGGAAGAACAAAUGUGGAAGUAACUGUGCAGGUAGUGACGGUACCGAGUCAGAAAGCCACGGCUAACUACGUG
rnacentral:rRNA from 1 species